AUUUUGACUGAGCGGCGGACGGGUGAGUAACGCGUGGGUACCUGCCUCAUACAGGGGGAUAACAGUUAGAAAUGACUGCUAAUACCGCAUAAGACCGCAUGGUAAAAACUCCGGUGGUAUGAGAUGGACCCGCGUCUGAUUAGUUAGUUGGUGGGGUAACGGCCUACCAAGGCGACGAUCAGUAGCCGACCUGAGAGGGUGACCGGCCACAUUGGGACUGAGACACGGCCCAAACUCCUACGGGAGGCAGCAGUGGGGAAUAUUGCACAAUGGGGGAAACCCUGAUGCAGCGACGCCGCGUGAGCGAAGAAGUAUUUCGGUAUGUAAAGCUCUAUCAGCAGGGAAGAAAAUGACGGUACCUGACUAAGAAGCCCCGGCUAACUACGUGCCAGCAGCCGCGGUAAUACGUAGGGGGCAAGCGUUAUCCGGAUUUACUGGGUGUAAAGGGAGCGUAGACGGAGCAGCAAGUCUGAUGUGAAAACCCGGGGCUCAACCCCGGGACUGCAUUGGAAACUGUUGAUCUGGAGUGCCGGAGAGGUAAGCGGAAUUCCUAGUGUAGCGGUGAAAUGCGUAGAUAUUAGGAGGAACACCAGUGGCGAAGGCGGCUUACUGG
rnacentral:rRNA from 1 species